rnacentral:rRNA from 1 species
UCUGGGACACGAAUCCAGGCCCUACGGGGCGCAGCAGGCGCGAAAACUUUACAAUGCGAGAAAUCGUGAUAAGGGAACCCCGAGUGCCCGUAAAUUCGGGCUGUCCGCCAGUGUAAAUAACUGGUGAAGAAAGGGCCGGGCAAGACCGGUGCCAGCCGCCGCGGUAAUACCGGCGGCUCGAGUGGUGGCCACUAUUACUGGGCUUAAAGCGUCCGUAGCUGGAUUGUUAAGUCUCUUGGGAAAUCCACCGGCUCAACCGAUGGGCGUUCAGGAGAAACUGGCAAUCUAGGGACCGGGAGAGGUGAGAGGUACUCCAGGGGUAGGAGUGAAAUCCUGUAAUCCUUGGGGGACCACCUGUGGCGAAGGCGUCUCACUAGAACGGCUCCGACAGUGAGGGACGAAAGCUGGGGGAGCAAACCGGAUUAGAUACCCGGGUAGUCCCAGCUGUAAACGAUGCGCGUUAGGUGUAUCGGUGACCACGAGUCAUCGAGGUGCCGAAGGGAAACCGUGAAACGU